rnacentral:rRNA from 1 species
UACAGAGGUCCCGAGCGUUGUUCGGAUUCACUGGGCGUAAAGGGUGCGUAGGCGGGUCUUUAAGUCAGGGGUGAAAUCCUGGAGCUCAACUCCAGAGCUGCCUUUGAUACUGAAGAUCUUGAGUUCGGGAGAGGUGAGUGGAACUGCGAGUGUAGAGGUGAAAUUCGUAGAUAUUCGCAAGAACACCAGUGGCGAAGGCGGCUCACUGGCCCGAUACUGACGCUGAGGCACGAAAGCGUGGGGAGCAAACAGG